GACGAACGCUGGCGGCGUGCUUAACACAUGCAAGUCGAACGGAAAGGCCCCUUUGGGGGUACUCGAGUGGCGAACGGGUGAGUAACACGUGAGUAACCUGCCCUUGACUUCGGGAUAACUUCAGGAAACUGGGGCUAAUACCGGAUAGGAAUCCUUGCUGCAUGGUGGGGGUUGGAAAGCUUCGGCGGUUUUGGAUGGACUCGCGGCUUAUCAGCUUGUUGGUGGGGUAGUGGCUUACCAAGGCUUUGACGGGUAGCCGGCCUGAGAGGGCGACCGGCCACAUUGGGACUGAGAUACGGCCCAGACUCCUACGGGAGGCAGCAGUGGGGAAGAUUGCACAAGGGGCGGAAGCCUGAUGCAGCAACGCCGCGUGCGGGAUGACGGCCUUCGGGUUGUAAACCGCUUUCAGCAGGGGCGAAGCUUGUGGUGACGGUACCUGCAGAAGAAGCACCGGCUAACUACGUG
rnacentral:rRNA from 1 species